CCGCCCCCUCCUCCAAGUCUGAACCUCCUGUAGGUUGCUCCUGUUUAGGUGGAGAAGCUCCACAAUCUGGAGCAGAGAAGCCCCCAAAUCGGCGGAAUCGGAGAGGUCCGAUGUGUCGGCGUAGCACCUCCGCGACGGCUCAACCCCGACCCCCUCGAGCACCUCCGUGGAAUCUCAGCCCUGGCGCCCCUCGAGCACCUCCGCGACGGCUCAACCCCGGCCCCCCUCGAGCACCUCCGCGGCGGCUCAGCCCCGGCCCCCCUCGAGCACCUCCUCGGCGUGCAGCUCAGCCCCAACCCCUCCUCGAGCACCUCCGCGGCGGCUCGGCCCCGGCCCCCUCACUCACCUCGGCGGCGGCGAUGCCCCGGCCCCGUCGCCAUCCGUGCGGUGCCCUCCACCCCAACCCCUCGUCCACUCCCUUGCGGUGGCCUGGUGAUGGAUCUCGUGGCCUUGUGGCGGACGACGGCGGCGAUGUAGCCGGUUCCCUCAGCGGCGGUGCGGCGCCGAUUCGAUCUGCUCUGCAGCGGGCGCGGGAAAGAACUGACGAGCCCGCCUAUUCCUCUUUUUCACCCGCAUCGUCUCGUCUCCAUGCCAAAACUGCUAGGUGUUGCAUUCUUUUACUUUGUUCGCUGAUAACCGUUGGAUGGAGAAAUAGCGGUGGAUGGGAGGGCGCAUGUUACGCCGUGACUGCCAAGAGGCAUGUCACCUGAUCCCAGUCCGACCGACCCCGCUGCGAGCAGGCCGGAGGCGGCGCCGAUGGGUCGAGCUCCGCCGCGGCGGGGGGCGACCGGGAGGGCAAGGGGACGCUGCCGCCCAAGGCCAUUCCUUCUCCUCCGAGCUCCGCGGGCAGCAGCAGCUCCUCCACCCCCUCCCUCGACUACACCGCCGCAUUCAGAGGCGGGGAGUCGAGCACCGCUGCGGGCGGCAGCAAGGCGCGGGUGACGUGGAGUGACCCCGCGGCGACGGAGACGAGGGAGGUGCCCAACGCGGCGGCGCAUCCAUUCGACCCCAAGCUGGUGUCCAGGCAGCGGCUGCUGAAAACGCAGGCGGCUGUAGAUGAGGAGAAGAGCCGACGGGAACAGCAGUUCAACUCGUUGCGUGCGGAAGAGGCGAUGCAUAGGAAGGAGCAGUCUAUUAAACAAUCAUCCAAGCAGUGGUUCGAUUCACCGAAAAAUAGAGGUCGUCCCACUUGCCGUAAAGUGGUCUUAUAAUAAUGAUGAUAAAAUUCCGUACCCUUUAUACGCUGAAUUUUCUGGAGAUAAUUCCCCCUUCUCCCCAAAAAGAGAGUGGAGUGAUAUAAGAGUUGUCAGGAGACUGCGAGGAUUGCGUUGGCAAGAGCGGGUUGCUGCUCGUACUCACUUCAGAGAGCUACGUGAUAGUCGGUGAGCAGCUAGAGGCAAGCCUACUUCUUUAUUCAUGUCAGCAAUGAAUAAAUUCAGGGUCGAGAAGGCUAAGGAGUACAGCGGCCGUUGCGCCGUUCCUGAAUAUCUUAUAUGUCCGUUGUCCGGUGAGCUCAUGACAGAUCCAGUGACAAUUGCUACAGGAAAGACAUUCGAGCGACACUUUCUGAAGGGCUGGUUCGAGAAGAAGGGACACAUUUGUCCUUCGACCAACGAGCCGGUGUCAAGCACAAUCAUCCGAAACGACCGCAUCCGAGGAUACUUAGAGGAGUGGAACGAAGUGUUGAAAGAAGAGUAGUGCUGAUAUGUGUGCUUGUCGAAUUACAAUUACAGUGCUGCUACUUUUCCGCUCGUUGGGAAAGAUUAAAAAAUCAUUAGUAGAAUUCUGCUUGUGGACUUGCUACUAAUUUCACAAUCCCAUAUGCAAAGAUUAGAUUACAUGUUUGCUACCCUCUA